GGAGGACGUAUCCCGACUCUCCUCAGCUCAAGCUUCGCGAUGGCAACGGUUUUGUGGCGAUCGGGCUCCGUUUGCAAAUCGACGGUCGAGAUCGUCCGUAAAUCUCUCCGGAUGAUCGGGUGUCAGAUCGAAAAAUCGAAAGCGGGGAUCGUCAUCAGCGCGUCGUUGUGAGUCCGAUGGUGUGUUCGGAUCGUCGAUCGG
rnacentral:lncRNA from 1 species